UACAGAGGUCCCAAGCGUUGUUCGGAUUCACUGGGCGUAAAGGGUGCGUAGGCGGCGCGGUAAGUCGGGUGUGAAAUCUCGGAGCUUAACUCCGAAACUGCAUUCGAUACUGCCGUGCUUGAGGACUGGAGAGGAGACUGGAAUUUACGGUGUAGCGGUGAAAUGCGUAGAUAUCGUAAGGAAGACCAGUGGCGAAGGCGGGUCUCUGGACAAUUCCUGACGCUGAGGCACGAAGGUCAGGGGAGCAAACGGG
rnacentral:rRNA from 1 species